AUGGACGACGGGGAUUCAUGAGAAACAGACCUGUUUGUUUAUGCAGCACAUCACACUGGGGCAAACAAAAACACUUAAAAUACUGCAAAUUCCAGGACGUUACUGCGACCCCCCCAACAACGAGCCGUUCUCUCAGCCUGCCUGACACACGCCCCUGACGUUUAUCAGCAGAUGUUUGCUUUCAGGAGGGGAAUGUCUGGUUGCAACAUACAGCAAGUGUUUGGCAGAAAAUAAUCAGUGGUGAAAUUUUUUUAUUUUUUUUUAAAGAAAAAAAUAAGGUCUGACUUUGUGUUUGUUGUUUCUAAAAGGACACUGGAGUACAGUGGAAACACGGCAGCCCCGGAACAGGCGGGUUCUUCGCGGCGAGAACGGCAACGGACGCUUACGGAACGUAGCAGCAACGUUACCAUCUGUCCUCCUUCAGCGGCCAUCUCUGGGAGUUGGGGAGUCAAGAAUCUGGGACUUCCAGCAGGUAACAGCGUCCUUCUUCAGUGACCUACUUCUAGCGCCUGCCGCAGGACAGCAUGCAGGAACUCCGACGCAAGCGAGUGGCGGCAGCGACCGACCACAACAAGCAGCCGCUCCCGGUGCCGCUCGCUCCCGUUUACAAACAAGCCCCAGCUGGUCCGCAGAGCUGAGCUUCCAGCGUGCCGCAUUCGCCACUGAUUACAUAACAGCGAACAAACAUCGGACUCAAGAGGAUUGUGGGAUGCAGGGGCCCGGGUAGCUCUACGCUUUUUCUGCUUAACCCAGGGAGACUUUGUUUAUGAAAACAACACCAGAGCCAAGACUUUAG